UGAACUGGGGAAAUGUUCCAUGUGAACAUCACUUGGACAUGGCCAGUUAGUCGAUCCUAAGAGAUGGGGAAUCCUUGUAUCAAGGGUGAACUUUGCAUGAACAUCGAAAGAUAAUUGGGUUAAUAUUCCCGAACCGGGACAUGGUGGUGGAUGACAAUGUUAGGAAAUAUGGAGAUGUCAUCGGGGGCCUGGGAAGAGUUAUCUUUUAUUUUUAAUGACUUUCCCACCCUGAAAUCGGUUCAACCGGAGAUAGGGUCCAACAUCUGAAAGAGCACCACACGUCUUGCUGUGUUUGGUUCCCCCUUGAUGACCAUUGUAAAUAUGGUGAACCGAGUACCAUCCAUGCCCGAUCGUACUCAUAUCUGCCUCCUUGGAUUUUUCAAUGUCCACUA
rnacentral:ncRNA from 1 species